CUCCUCUUCCUCUUACAACAAAAAAUAAAGCUGAAAAAAAAAAUGCCUUGUUUAUAUCUAUUUGAUUGUUUGAAAUGGCCCCUGCAAAAUUUCUUUCUUGGCUCCUCCAAGAUUGGGCUCUCUCCAAAUUAUGAGUUGGCCCUUUAAGAAUGGGCUUAGUAAAUUUAAAAUCAUUAGCCCAUUACUUAAUACAACAAAUUAAGCCCCUCUAAGAAUGGGCUUUCUCAGUUUUUCUUUUCAAAUGGGAUGAUCUUUAUAUACCCAUUAGAAAAAACAGUAAGUGUUUUUUGGAGUAUCUUUUGUAUAUUUUUAUAUAUUUUUAACGCUUAACAAUAUUUAGCAGUAUAAAUAUUUAUAAAUUUACUUUUGAUCAUAUUUCGGCCCUCAAGUUCCAACUUCUAGUUCCGCCCCUGGUGUUUUGAAACAUGCCCCUGAUUUGAAUGUCAUUCCAGAAUUAUAAUGUCCUAUGAACAUGCCAAUAUUCAGACUCCAGGUCCGGCGGCUAUCUGAUGACCCCAAGAAAGCUUAUAUUCAUUUAAAACCACAACGUUGGAUCUAACUACAAGGGAUCACCAAUUGAAAAAGAUUAUGUCUUUUGAACCAAUUCCUUAUGCCACCACCCGCACCUAGUAGGGUAUCAAGGAAUUGUAACUGCCCACACAUUUAUUAAAAUGGUUAUAACAAUUCUAAAUAUAAAAUGUUUCAUUGCGAUAAUAUAGAGCAUAAUUACUAAAACCAAGUUUUACUAAUAAAACAAAAGCAUUACCUUUCCAAGCAACUUAAGUUCUCGUCCAACAGGUUCCAUAAAUUUUAGGUUAACAUCUAUAGGCCAC
rnacentral:misc_RNA from 1 species